GACGAACGCUGGCGGCGUGCUUAACACAUGCAAGUCGAGCGGUAAGGCCCUUUCGGGGGUACGACGAGCGGCGAACGGGUAGGAGUAACACGUGGGUGGACCUCGCCCUCCAGCUCUGGGAGUAAGCCUCGGGAAACCGGGGUACUAAUACCGGAUAUGACUCCAUGACGCAUGUUGUGGGGUGGAAAGCCUUGUGCGGCUGAGGAUGGGCCCGCGGCCUAUCAGCUUGUUGGUGGGGUGAUGGCCUACCAAGGCGACGACGGGUAGCCGGCCUGAGAGGGCGACCGGCCACACUGGGACUGAGACACGGCCCAGACUCCUACGGGAGGCAGCAGUGGGGAAUCUUGCGCAAUGGGCGAAAGCCUGACGCAGCGACGCCGCGUGAGGGAUGACGGCCUGG
rnacentral:rRNA from 1 species